rnacentral:rRNA from 1 species
UUAAUGAGAGUUUGAUCCUGGCUCAGGACGAACGCUGGCGGCGUGCCUAAUACAUGCAAGUAGAACGCUGAUGUUUGGUGUUUACACUAGACUGAUGAGUUGCGAACGGGUGAGUAACGCGUAGGUAACCUGCCUCAUAGCGGGGGAUAACUAUUGGAAACGAUAGCUAAUACCGCAUAAGAGUAAUUAACACAUGUUAGUUAUUUAAAAGGAGCAAUUGCUUCACUGUGAGAUGGACCUGCGUUGUAUUAGCUAGUUGGUGAGGUAAAGGCUCACCAAGGCGACGAUACAUAGCCGACCUGAGAGGGUGAUCGGCCACACUGGGACUGAGACACGGCCCAGACUCCUACGGGAGGCAGCAGUAGGGAAUCUUCGGCAAUGGACGGAAGUCUGACCGAGCAACGCCGCGUGAGUGAAGAAGGUUUUCGGAUCGUAAAGCUCUGUUGUUAGAGAAGAACGUUGGUAGGAGUGGAAAAUCUACCAAGUGACGGUAACUAACCAGAAAGGGACGGCUAACUACGUGCCAGCAGCCGCGGUAAUACGUA